rnacentral:pre_miRNA from 1 species
AGAUCUCUUUCCCCUUUUACGGCAUAGUGAUUUGUUUGCUGAAAAGACGAAAGGGGUUUU